GGGAACGUGCUGCAAAAAAGUGACUUAUGCUGGCUGCAGAAUUCUGCAGAAGGUGCAGAAAUUCUGCAAUUCUGCAAGUACGGGAAUAUACCUAAUGUUUCAAUUUUGUUUUAAAAUGAGUGCAUGUCAGCUUUGCGGAAUAAUGGAAGAGACAAAGUCAAAACAUGCAACUUUUGCCACCGAAGACAAAUUCUGAGACGUCUGAGAUCAUGAAGGCUCGCAUUUGCACUUAUAACGCCUAUUAUAAUGUUGUUUAAUUUAUGAUGAGAAAUAAAAAAACAUGCAAUUUAAA